UACGUAGGGGGCAAGCGUUGUCCGGAUUUAUUGGGCGUAAAGGGUGCGUAGGCGGCUUAUUAAGUCAGGGGUGAAAUACUCUAGCUCAACUAGAGGGGUGCCAUUGAUACUGAUGAGCUUGAGUACAGAUGAGGUAGGCGGAAUUGACGGUGUAGCGGUGAAAUGCUUAGAUAUCGUCAAGAACACCUAUAGCGAAGGCAGCUUACUAGGCUGUAACUGACGCUGAGACGCGAAAGCGUGGGGAGCAAACAGG
rnacentral:rRNA from 1 species